UGACCCUACGGGAGGCAGCAGUGGGGAAUAUUGCGCAAUGGGCGAAAGCCUGACGCAGCGACGCCGCGUGAGGGAUGAAGGUCUUCGGAUCGUAAACCUCUGUCAGGAGGGAAGAAGUGGUUAUAUGCGAAUAGUGUAUGACUUUGACGGUACCUCCAAAGGAAGCACCGGCUAACUCCGUGCCAGCAGCCGCGGUAAUACGGAGGGUGCGAGCGUUAAUCGGAAUUACUGGGCGUAAAGCGCUCGUAGGCGGUAUGUCAAGUCAAGGGCGAAAUCCCCGCGCUCAACGUGGGAACUGCCUUUGA
rnacentral:rRNA from 1 species